CUUACUACAGGCUUUUUACAAUGUAUAAUGUACUGCACAACUAAAUUGCCCAAACAAGUUCUAGCUUUUGUGAGGGAAAAUAACCUUGAAAUGACGGGUACAUGAAUUGAUCCUGGCAAAAACAUAAAAAUGGCACCCAAGCAAAAUACACAAAUAAGACCAUUCAAAGCUCACGGCAGAAAAGAUGGCACAGGUGUGGAAGGUCGUCGAAUUCAAAGAUAGGAGCACUACCAUAGUGCCAAGCAGCUGGUUGGAGGAGGCAGGGGAGUCAUGGAAUUGUUUCUGGCCUCCUAGUUCUUACGAUCAUAACCGCCUCCAGAAGGCAGUCGCGC
ensembl:lncRNA